GGAGGCGACUGGGACCUGGUGGUCUCCCUGGUCUUCAAAACCAGUGACGCGCCCUCAGGGCGUGUGGUGGGUUCGAUUCCCAUCCGCCUCCGCCA
rnacentral:tRNA from 1 species